rnacentral:rRNA from 1 species
ACGAAGGGGGCUAGCGUUGCUCGGAAUCACUGGGCGUAAAGGGUGCGUAGGCGGGUCUUUAAGUCAGGGGUGAAAUCCUGGAGCUCAACUCCAGAACUGCCUUUGAUACUGAGGAUCUUGAGUUCGGGAGAGGUGAGUGGAACUGCGAGUGUAGAGGUGAAAUUCGUAGAUAUUCGGAAGAACACCAGUGGCGAAGGCGACAUACUGGUCCAUUACUGACGCUGAGGCUCGAAAGCGUGGGGAGCAAACAGGA